GACCCAACAAUGGAUUGAAACAACCCAACAUUUUUUUUUAGAGUAGACAGGGAGUUUUUGUACACUAUAUUGGGUUAAUACUGUCAGUGUGACAAUGCUUUUGACUACUGGGGAAAAGGAACCAUGGUCACUGUAUCGUCAGCUCAGGCAUCAAAACCACAGUCUCUCUUUGGCCUUUCUGAAUGUGGUUCCGGUUCUGAUGGCUUCCUGACUGUCGGCUGCAUUGCAAAAGGUUUCUCGCCCGCGGACUCGCUCUCCAUUACAUGGACAGAUUUUAAAGGAGAUCCGGUGAAUGAUUUUGUGCAGUAUCCAACAAUCGGACACCAGGGAGGUUACACCAAAAUCAGCCAUCUGCUUGUGAAGAAAAGCGACUUUACUCCUGAUAAACCUUACAAAUGCAAAGCUGAAAAUUCUGCCGGAGUAAGCGAAACAGGUGUCGCUCGAGCCCUCCCAGAGCCAGAUCAGCCUGCAUCUGUGUACUUAACAACUCCUACAAAUGAGGAAUUAGACAGUGGAACAGCUACUUUCAUCUGUGUAGCCAAGCACUUUUCCCCAGAAAAGCACUCGUUUAAGUGGUUUCAUGAUGAUAAGGACGUGACAAGUGAAGGAAAUAAUGAUGAAUGCUUAGGUAAGAAGAAAACCAAUGUAACUCUAUUUACCGCCACAAGCAUUUUGCAAUUAAAAGCUGACCGUUGGACCAAGCCUGGACACAACAUUAAGUGCGUGUUCGAGCACAAGGCUGGAAAUAAAGUGAAAGAAAUUGGCAACACAGUUUCUUCCACAGAUUCAUGUAUUUCUGCUCAUUUCAUCGCUCCAUCCUGGGAGGACAUGUUGAAAAACAAAGGUGGAAUUCUGACAUGCAGAGCUUCAGGAGAAAUUGGGUUCAAAAAAAUGGAAAUUAAAAUGAAAGAAUCCGGACGUGUCAUCAGUUCUGCUGUUGGAGACAUUGCAGAUAAGAAAACUGUUGAAAGUGUAGCCACUAUAGGUUUUGAAGAAUGGAGCAAUGGAACAGAAUUUUUGUGUAUCAUUGAACACGAAUCUUCAGGAGUGCCCACAGAGAUUGUGUAUGUCAGAGAAAACGCAUUGGUUGGGUGGAUAGAGCAUCCCAUAUACGACCCAGUUGACACGGAUGACAGCAACAUUGCAAACACUGCUGUAACUUUUGUCUUCUUGUUCCUUAUCACUUUGUUCUACUGCAUCGGUGCUACUUUUGUUAAGGUGAAAUGAAAGAAAUAUGUAAGUAAGGCAUGGAUGAAUCAGUUCCUCUGAUUUUCAGGAUAACAAGACUAUGUAACACGUUGUUUUCACUUGUAAAUAUGUGAUUGUGUUGUUUCAAUUUUUACUUAAAUAAAAAACAAACCAUUUAA